AGCGGGGCGGCAGGCUUGCCUGCCGUUGCCGGCGACCGGCGCACGGGUGAGUAACACGUAUGCAACCUGCCCGUGGCAGGGGGAUAAGCGGGGGAAACCCCGUCUAAUACCGCGUAACGCGGCCUAGGGACAUCCCAAGGCCGCCAAAGGGAGCAAUCCCGGCCACGGAUGGGCAUGCGGCGCAUUAGCUAGUCGGCGGGGUAACGGCCCACCGAGGCGACGAUGCGUAGGGGUUCUGAGAGGAAGGCCCCCCACACUGGUACUGAGACACGGACCAGACUCCUACGGGAGGCAGCAGUGAGGAAUAUUGGUCAAUGGGCGCGAGCCUGAACCAGCCAAGUCGCGUGAGGGAGGACGGCCCUACGGGUUGUAAACCUCUUUUGCCGGGGAGCAACGGGCGUCACGUGUGGCGCCACUGAGAGUACCCGGAGAAAAAGCAUCGGCUAACUCCGUGCCAGCAGCCGCGGUAAUACGGAGGAUGCGAGCGUUAUCCGGAUUUAUUGGGUUUAAAGGGUGCGUAGGCGGAUCGUUAAGUCAGUGGUCAAAUUGAGGGGCUCAACCCCUUCCCGCCAUUGAAACUGGCGUUCUUGAGUGGAAGAGAAGUAUGCGGAAUGCGUGGUGUAGCGGUGAAAUGCAUAGAUAUCACGCAGAACCCCGAUUGCGAAGGCAGCAUGCCGGCUUCCGACUGACGCUGAAGCACGAAAGCGUGGGGAUCGAACA
rnacentral:rRNA from 1 species